rnacentral:rRNA from 1 species
AUUGAACGCUGGCGGCAGGCCUAACACAUGCAAGUCGAGCGGAUGAAGGGAGCUUGCUCCUGGAUUCAGCGGCGGACGGGUGAGUAAUGCCUAGGAAUCUGCCUGGUAUUGGGGGAUAACGUCCGGAAACGGGCGCUAAUACCGCAUACGUCCUGAGGUAGAACGUGGGGGAUCUUCGGACCUCACGCUAUCAGAUGAGCCUAGGUCGGAUUAGCUAGUUGGUGGGGUAAAGGCCUACCAAGGCGACGAUCCGUAACUGGUCUGAGAGGAUGAUCAGUCACACUGGAACUGAGACACGGUCCAGACUCCUACGGGAGGCAGCAGUGGGGAAUAUUGGACAAUGGGCGAAAGCCUGAUCCAGCCAUGCCGCGUGUGUGAAGAAGGUCUUCGGAUUGUAAAGCACUUUAAGUUGGGAGGAAGGGCAGUAAGUUAAUACCUUGCUGUUUUGACGUUACCAACAGAAUAAGCACCGGCUAACUUCGUG